UGUUUAUGACAAGCAGAUUUAGAAAUGCUUCAUUGAAAGAGACGGGCGACACACAGCGAUAACAUGGCUGGGUGUCUGAAUGUGGCUUUAGCUUAUAGCUAACAUUACUGUUAGCCUUUUAUAUCGACAAAUUAAUGCGUGAUUGUUUUGUUAAAUAUGAAGAGUUUCGUUGCAAAACGAGCAGUGCUGGAAAAAGUUACAUCCAAAGUGUAAUACAUUACAAAUUACUGACAUUUGAAAGUAAUUAGUUACAUUACAAUAUUACUGUCUCUGAACUGUAAUGAGUUACACUACUUUUGCGUUACUUUUGAGUUACUUUCAUCAAAAUAACAGAAGUAUGACUAGGCAUUAUAAAAUGUUAAAAUGUAGUUUAUUGCUGCUUAUAAAUCUAGAAGUUAUGUGUUGGCCCUUGAGCUUUGAAUAGGCACAGUGAAGACUUAUGGCAAAUACAGUAACAAUCACUGUCAGAAUCAUAAACAAAGACAAAUGAUCUGGUAAGAGUCUGGUAAAUUAUGGUACACAUGCCAAACACAAUAGAUCUAGAGCCCACUAUAAUGCAACCUAUAGCCUUAUAACAUCAUAGCAAGACAGGCAACCUCUUUUCAUUUCUAUUCUUUAAUUCACUUUUAAUUCAGAGUCACAGCAUAAACCUGUCAUGCACUGGGUUGAAAGAAUGAAUGAAUAUAGGUUCCCAUACAAAGGCUGCUAAAAACUUUAAACAGUGAAGUUUAAAUGUAGCCUACUAUUUAGAUAACCAUGUUUAAGUCUACACUAAUGUUACGUUGUAGUUUAGGUUGCUGUUUGUAAUAAAACUGUAGAUAGCAUAGGAAUAGCCUAGCAAUCUAUUAUGUAUAUGGACUGUAACCAUAGCAACGUUAGCUUACCUUGUCAUUGCUGGUGUUCAUUUGGAUUUUACUUGGAAGCUUUUUAAAAGUCUCUUUACUUCUGGGGUUCAAGCAGCACAGGAGACCGAUAUAAGUUAAAUUUUCUUUUGCUUUUACUAAGUGCUCUCAUUUGCAGAAUUAUGCAUGUGCAGCGCUACCGGACCUGAUUGCGACCACUUUAGUCAAUGUUUAUACAGCCGCUGACUUCCCAGAAGCGGCUCAUUAAGAAACGCGUCUAUAUUUGACGUGCACCGCGUCCAAAUGGCAGUUCAAAUACAAAAUUAAAGUAAAAAUGAACAUGCUGCAUACAGCACCCGGAAACAGACAUACCAUUUUACCUGCAGCUUUUUCCUGUUUGGAUGCUGGUCGCGCAAAUUGGUAAAAAAAAAAUAAAAAAAAAUAACACGGUAUAUUUUUGAAAUGCAUUGUUACACGCGCGGUUUUAUUUUUUAUUUUUGUAAAAACAUGUUUAUUAUUAUGUUAUCAUGUUAUUAUUUUGCUUUAUGGUGCUAUUUUUUAAGUUAUGAAGGUUUAAACAAAACAAACCAACUGCAGUUGAAUUUAUGUUAAUUGGAAUGCACAACCAAAAAACGAGAUUUCUGAACAAUUAAAAAAACGAUUUAUCUCGUUUUGCAACGAAACUCUUCAUAUAUUUAUGUUUGUAUAUGUGGUAUGCCUGAACUGAAUUUCUUAAAGUACUUCAGGGACACACUUUUCAUUGUAAAAGAGUUCUGCAGUAGCAAUAUAUUUGUAUGUGUGUAAAUAGGCGGUCUACAUCAUACAGACAGCUAGGGGGAGCUCUCGCAUAGGUCUGCUUAGUAGUAGUAGCACUAAUAUACACAAGUUAAUGCAGAGAGCAGAUAACAGUUAUUCGAGAUGCUCCGGGAGAAAUUAAUCUAUCUUGUUUAAUAUUCUUUGCAGACUACUAUUAGGCUGAAUCAAAACCUGCCAGACUAAAGUUGAUUUUGCGUGAGAAAGACGUUGAAAACUCUGAAUCAUCUUGACAUUCUUCAAUGAGUAAUUGUUUCAUUUUUACGCAAAUAGUGUACACUAUGAAUGCUGUGAAUAAACAUAUAUUUUAAAUAUA